rnacentral:rRNA from 1 species
UGGGGAAUCUUAGACAAUGGGCGAAAGCCUGAUCUAGCGAUGCCGCGUGAGUGACGAAGGCCCUAGGGUCGUAAAGCUCUUUCGCCAGGGAUGAUAAUGACAGUACCUGGUAAAGAAACCCCGGCUAACUCCGUGCCAGCAGCCGCGGUAAUACGGAGGGGGUUAGCGUUGUUCGGAAUUACUGGGCGUAAAGCGCGCGUAGGCGGAUUGGAAAGUUGGGGGUGAAAUCCCGGGGCUCAACCCCGGAACUGCCUCCAAAACUAUCAGUCUAGAGUUCGAGAGAGGUGAGUGGAAUUCCAAGUGUAGAGGUGAAAUUCGUAGAUAUUUGGAGGAACACCAGUGGCGAAGGCGGCUCACUGGCUCGAUACUGACGCUGAGGUGCGAAAGUGUGGGGAGCAAACAGGAUUAGAUACCCCCGUAGUCC